rnacentral:misc_RNA from 1 species
UCUUUGUUGCUUUGUCAG